rnacentral:tRNA from 1 species
CCUAUUUGCCUCCAAAAAUCUUUAUCCUAUCCCCUUUUUUCGUUAGCG